rnacentral:rRNA from 1 species
UACAGAGGGGGCAAGCGUUAUUCGGAAUUAUUGGGCGUAAAGGGCGCGUAGGCGGCUUUGCAAGUGGCGGGUGAAAUCCCUCGGCUUAACCGAGGAACUGCCUGCCAGACUGUGAGGCUUGAGACCGGGAGAGGUGAGUGGAAUUCCCAGUGUAGCGGUGAAAAUGCGUAGAUAUUGGGAGGAACACCAGUGGCGAAGGCGGCUCACUGGACCGGAACUGACGCUGAGGCGGCGAAAGCGUGGGGGAGCAAACAGG